GACGAACGCUGGCGGCGUGCUUAACACAUGCAAGUCGAACGGAAAGGCCCUGCUUUUGUGGGGUGCUCGAGUGGCGAACGGGUGAGUAACACGUGAGUAACCUGCCCUUGACUUUGGGAUAACUUCAGGAAACUGGGGCUAAUACCGGAUAGGAGCUCCUGCUGCAUGGUGGGGGUUGGAAAGUUUCGGCGGUUGGGGAUGGACUCGCGGCUUAUCAGCUUGUUGGUGGGGUAGUGGCUUACCAAGGCUUUGACGGGUAGCCGGCCUGAGAGGGUGACCGGCCACAUUGGGACUGAGAUACGGCCCAGACUCCUACGGGAGGCAGCAGUGGGGUAUAUUGCACAAUGGGCGGAAGCCUGAUGCAGCAACGCCGCGUGCGGGAUGACGGCCUUCGGGUGGUAAACCGCUUUCGCCUGUGACGAAGCGUGAGUGACGGUAAUGGGGAAAGAAGCACCGGCGAACUACGU
rnacentral:rRNA from 1 species